GUGCCUACUGAACUUCAGAUUUAGGUACUUGGGUUUUCGAAAAUUACUAUAUUAUCCUUAAUAUAUGGCAUCAUACAACUCAUACUCAAUGGUUGAUGCUAAUGGUUUUGUUACACUAAUGAUUUUCCAGUUUCCACAUACGACAAAAUUGAUUAAACACUCAAAAUUAUUUGGGUUAUAUAAAAAAAAAAUUGUUGUGAAAAGAUGAUGUCCACUCA
rnacentral:lncRNA from 1 species